CCUCGCGCUGCAGGCGCACCGCGGCUCGUGCCAGAAUGAAGAUGGCUUCCUGUCCCGCUAGCGUCACGUCGGGAUCUGCCUUCACCAAGGCCUUCACUCGCGCCAGAGGCAACCUCGAGAGACGAGCCCCAGGCACACUCGUUGGGGCCUGGGGCUGCGAGGCCGCUGCCUCCCCAGCAGGCCAUUAUAACUACAUUCUUAGAAUGUGAUCCCUUUCAACAUUUCCUGCACCUCUGCUUCUGCACACUACCACCAAAAGACAAGAAAGGCAAGGAGACGUGACUGGAGCAAGAAAAACAGUGUUUUUCACACAAGGAUGUCCACUCCUUGUUGGGAAUGGCUUAAGAUCGACCUGGGAAAGCAAAACAUCGCCAUAUCAUUUGGAGGAAAGGCACUGGUUGGAAGAGCCUGUUGGCGUGGCAAAGCCAAGGUCUUUAAAGUCCUCAGAGAAGGCAGGCAUAGCCACCACUGGAGGACUUCCUGAUAUGUGGUACAGAGACUGAUGAGGGCAUGGGGUGACAACCUUAGGUGCCAACAGCAAGGGGAUGGAUAUACAGGGUAAAGGAGGCUUGCUGCCAUCCUACGCCUUUGAACGCCACAAAUCAGAGAUGGUACCAUGGAGGAACAUGAACAGGUGAGAGCUGAGGCAUGGGUGCCCACACACAGCCCAAGCCCAGGUGCUAACAGUUGACCAUCAGUAGCCCAGUGCCCCGAAUUCAUCCUGCGCCUGAUUAUCACCCAAAAGCAGUGCAUCGGCACCAUUCUGGUGACUCAAUAUCACACAAUGGCACCAGCCAGCAGGAACAAUCCAAUUGCCAGGCUGCCCUCCUGCACAGAGCCCAAGCCACAGAGCCCUCAGAUAACUCCAUUGAUGCAAAUCUCAGAGUUCCUCAAGGAAACAGGUCAACCCUGCACAUGGAGUGGAGAUUCAGAAAGGCCCCAAAAAGGAAAAAAACAAGGAUCAGUGUCCAUGUAUGUCCCUGUAUGGGGCUGCCAUUUGUCCUAACCACCCUGGGGUCUGCCAUAGCUGAGCCAGCCCUACUGGAAGAGGAUAGUCAAAUAACCUCACUCGUAUUCUUUUGCCACUUACUGUGUUGCCCUAGCUUCCCUCCAGGGGAUCCUCAUUUUGUCCUAGGCUCAACCUUACCUUUGAUCACUUUAGGACUCAGGCACAAGAUUUCACAUUGCUGGGAAUCCAUUUUCAGUCUUUGAAAAGACACAGUGAUUCUUCAGGAAGUUUGUUAUCCCAAAGAUGCAACAGAGACAGAAUUUCCCAGCUUGAAGGGAUUUGAAACAUCCAUAAAGUUACAGAAAUUCAUAUCUGGAGGAGUCUUAACGGUCAUUCAGACCAACGCUUUCUCGGGUAUCUAUAACAUCCAAUGCCCUAGUUUCCCUGCUGUCUUUUUUGGCCACUCCUUUUCAAUCUCCUUUGCAGGCUACCCUUUACAGGGCUCAGUCUCCACACUCUUUUGUUCUAGAUUUUCCCCUGGUGACCUCACCGAGGCCUACAGCUUUAAAUACCAUCCAUAUGCUGAUAAUUCCCAAAUUUAUAUUUCCAGUCCCAAGCUCUCCACUGAGUUUCAGGCUCAUAUAUCCAAAUGUCUACUUCUUGCCUUCAGUAUACCUUACAAACCUCUCAAGUUUGACGUGCCUAGAACUGGACUCUGGAUUUUACCUUUUGCCCGUAUCAACAAGUUCCUCUCUUAGUCUUCCAAUCACAGAAAGGGCUCCACCAUCAAGAUGGACAUGAGCCUAAAACCCAAGAAUUCUUGUUUCCUGCCUUCCUUUCCUUCUCUCACAUUCAGUCUCCUGGUAGACUUGUUCAUUUACUUCCACCAUUUCUAUCUACUUCUUUUCAUCUCCAGUGCCAACAUUCUUGUCCAAGCCAUCACUCUCUCUCCCCAAACCACUCCAAUAGCAUCCUAACUGGUUUUCCCUACCCUUAUCUCACCUCAAUCCAUUCUCUGCAUAUUAGCUGGAGUGAUCCUUUCAAGAAGUGAAUACAAACCUUAAAUCUUUCAACAGCCCUCACUGCAUCCAGAAUAAAAUCCAAGCACCUAUAACUGCCUAAUAUGGCUUCUGUCCACAUCUAACCUCAAAUCUUACCUUCUGCCCUUGCUGUGCUCAAGCCUUUCUGGCCUUUCAUUUCCUUAAACACACCAAGCCUUUCCAGCAUCAGAGACUUUACAAUUCUUCCUGGAAUGCUCUUCCACUAAUUUCUUUAGGUCAUAGUUUGUGGUCAUUUGAAAACAUGUCCACAAAUUCUUUUCUAUCCUAAAAAAAGGGGGAAUCCAAUUCCCCUCCUCUUGAACAUGGACUAGCCUCAGUGGCUUGCUACUAAUGAAUUAAAUGGUAUAGAAGUGACUGUAACUUCUUAGACUAGGUGACCAAAGAUGGCACAGCCUCCACCUGGUUCUCUGUCUUGUGAGGCUCACCCUUGGAACCCAGCCAUCAUGCUGUGACAAAGCCAUGUACCACAUGCAGGUGUUUCGGGGAACAGACCUGUCAGAGGUCCUUGCCAACAGCCAACAUCAGUCAGCAUCAACCACUAGACAUGUAAGUGAGGAAGCCUCCAGAUGAUUCCAGUUCCCACCUUCAGCUGAUGUUAGGUGGAGCAGAGACAUGCUGUCCCCACCUGCCUAAACUGCAGAUUCAUGAGUAAUGUAAUUUCUGUCAUUGUUUUAAGCCAUUAAGUUUUGGGGCAGUUUGUCACACAGCAAUAGACAACUGGAACACAGCUCAUAUGCCCCUUCUCAGAACUGCCCUCCCUGAUCAUCCUAAGUGCCCAUUGGCAUUAUCCAUAACCUGAAAAUUAUUAUGAUUGAUCCUAAAGUCCAGCCUGGUGCCUGGCACGUAGGAGAUGCUCAGUGAAUAUUUGUGGAAUGAUUGAAUAAGGAAAUGAAUCCUCUUGUCACAUUUGAAGUUAUCAGUCAUCAAUAAAAUGGGGAUUUGUUUCAUCGUUUGCAGGGUGAUGACAUCAAACUCAAUUCGGAGAGAGGAAAGGGUAGUUAUGAAGCAUGCUCCACUGGUGCUGCUGGAUAGUGAGGGUGGGCAGACUUGACGACCACCAGUCCAGGACCUAGACAGCCUGAAGACACGGGGGCCUGAAAAGGUAGUUGGGGAUGCCCAAAGAAUGCUAGUCCUGGUGCCAAUGCAGCAGACAGUCACCUUGUCUGUUGUCGAGUAAACAAGUGCCUCCUCUUGGGCCUGUGAUGCCUGCCAGCACAUGUCUUUCUCAGAGGUGGGCAUAUUCUCUAUUUGGGAAACAAUGGGUAGAGGGAUUGAAGCAGGAGAAGUUUCAGAGAAUCACUCUUGCAAGAGAUGCUGCACUCUGGCAGACUCGAUAAUGACAAAUAUGUCAAGCAACUGAGUUUCAGCAGGGUUCCUUCGGGCCUUGUUCACCAACUUGUGGUUUCCGUGGUGACAGGACAGCUGCCAGGUAGAUGGCGGCUUUGGGGCCACCUGACUGGCUCUGACGAUAACUGGCUUUGACAGCUUUGAUUGGAAUGAAAAGAUUUAGGGUCCCUACUGGCUUUCUUAAAUUAAACCCUCCCUCCUGGAGUUAGCUUGUUUAUCAACAUUAUCUUAGAUUAGGGGACUUUCUUGUGAUCAGAGAGUUCUUUUACCACGAUGGUUCACAUGUUGGGGCCACUGGCAGGGUUUCUGAGAUCAGGGUCCUCGGAGCAGCACAGAGAGGUAAGGCUACACCCUGAUGUGCUUCUCAGGCAAUGCCUCCAAGGGGCAUGUUAACAGUCAGAUCUAGUUAGGAAAGAAAACAGGAAAAGGACCUGCAUUUUAACAGAAAUAAUUUAAUCUAGGCAAUUGAGUAAGCAGGUAUUAGAGGCUGAAAGGCAAAAAGGAAGUAUCAAGAUAAACACAGGGAUGGUAACUGCCAGAGGCAGCUCUACCUCUGGGGCUGAAGAACACAGGGAAGAUACUGGGGUUGCAAUAAUUUCAAAGCUUGGAAGAGGAGCCCUGCGGAGCUGGGACCUAGGCUUCUAAGGAGCGGCGACUGCACAGUAUCUGUGAGGCUGGAUUUGAGAGUCCAGAAAAUGUUGAAGACUGGAACCCAUUGCUAUUGAGGUAAACUGCCACUGCAAGGUGAAAAGUCAUUGUUGGGGUGAUGCUCACAGGGACAAGAAGCAGUCCCAGGAAGAGGCAAGUCCCUGCUCUGCCAAUUUGCCAUCCCUCCUUACUGACAGAGCCCCACAUGGAGCCAGCUGGCCACAGAGCAGUGUGGUUCGCCAAGUUCCAGCCCCAGAAUCACAGGGUAGAGUACAGACAGGUGGGUCUGACCUUAGAGACAUCAGCUUCAUAAUCAGCACAGGGAGUGUGAACAAGACGACAAUGGUAGGCCCUGAGAUAGAACAGCCAGGCCCAAAACACCCACACCUACCCUUCACUGGUAGAAAUCACCUCAUGCAGCUGUGUGUGGUAGCUCACGCCUGUAAUCCCAGCACUUUGGGAGACUGAG
rnacentral:lncRNA from 10 species